CCGGGGGAACUGAAACAUCUAAGUACCCCGAGGAAAAGAAAUCAAUUGAGAUUCCGAAAGUAGCGGCGAGCGAAAUUGGAUUAGCCCUUAAGCUUUUAAUGACACAGGUGAAGAUUCUGGAAAGUAUUGCGAUACAGGGUGAUAGCCCCGUAACCGACAUGUCAUUUUAAGUGAAAACGAGUAAGGCGGGACACGUGAUAUCCUGUUUGAAUAUGGGGGGACCAUCCUCCAAGGCUAAAUACUCCUGACUGACCGAUAGUGAACCAGUACCGUGAGGGAAAGGCGAAAA
rnacentral:rRNA from 1 species